rnacentral:rRNA from 1 species
GACGAACGCUGGCGGCGUGCUUAACACAUGCAAGUCGAGCGGUAAGGCCCUUUCGGGGGUACGACGAGCGGCGAACGGGUGAGUAACACGUGGGUGACCUGCCCUCAGCUCUGGGAUAAGCCUGGGAAACCGGGUCUAAUACUGGAUAUGACUCCAUGACGCAUGUUGUGGGGUGGAAAGCCUUGUGCGGCUGAGGAUGGGCCCGCGGCCUAUCAGCUUGUUGGUGGGGUGANGGCCUACCAAGGCGACGACGGG